rnacentral:snRNA from 1 species
GUGCUCACUUCAACAGUACAUAUACUAAAAUUGGAAUGAAACAGAAUAGUGUGUGGCCCCUGCAUAAGGAUGACAUGCAAAUUUGUGAAGCAGUUCAUAUUUUU